ACUUUGAAGCAGACCGACAUGGAGAAGGAGCGGCACAUUUUAGUUCACAAAGUAGCAUCAGACGCAAUUUGCAUAUACAGUGUGUGCCUUGAGAUCAUAUUGAACCACAGUUUUGUCUUUAUGCUAAAACAUCACGGUAAACACUAACAGAGAGCGAGUGUCCUGGUGUUCUAACCCUUUCAGGAACGGACAUUUGAACACAACGGGUUAUGUAACGCAUCAAAAACUCGUGAUACUUGUAGGCAUAAAUUCUUUAUCCUCCUCGAAGAAAGGCGACUAUUACAGCAGUUUACUGAGGAGCCGAGACGGUCUCCAUCCACAGUAUAUCCAUAGGUUUGUAUUAUACUGGGGUGGCUCGGUAGUCCAGUGGUUAGCACGUCGGCUUCACAGUGCAGAGGUACCGGGUUCGAUUACAGCUCCGGCCUCCCUGUGUGGAGUUUGCAUGUUCUCCCCGGGCCUGCGUGGGUUUUCUCCGGGUGCUCCGGUUUCCUCCCACAUUCCAAAAACAUGCGUGGCAGGCUGAUUGGACGCUCUAAAUUGUCCCUAGGUGUGAAUGUGAGCGUGGAUGGUUGUUCGUCUCUGUGUGCCCUGUGAUUGGCUGGCAACCGAUUCAGGGUGUCCCCCGCCUACUGCCCAAAGACAGCUGGGAUAGGCUCCGGCACCCCCCGCGACCCUAGUGAGGAUUAAGCGGUUCAGAAAAUGGAUGGAUGGAUCUUUCUUUUCUGUUCAUCCGCGGUCGUGUCCAUUUUAAGGGAGAGCCCCAGGGCCAAAGAAGUGAUGAAACUGUUUGGACGGUCUAAUUCCACAAGUGGCGAAGCAAGCCGUGGUGUGGUUGCAGAUGCGUGACCACACUUCUGUGUUUUGAUUACGUGGGACAACGAGAUUUUCCUUCACGCGUUGACUGCGCCGAUUCAUCACCUUCAAUGCCACCAAUCCGCAGAGACUUGGAAAGGUUCGAGUCCAAGGCACUAAAACAGGAGGUGCUUUAUUUUUAGACUCCAUAUGGUGGAAAAAUCUUCGCAGGAAUCAGGCAAUGUGAACUCAAGCCCUCAUUUGGAUCAAGGAAAUAGACACGGGGUGGAGGGUGGGGGUGGGGGGGGAAUGUGGCUGUUCAACUGCAGGGGGAAGUUGUUCCAUGUUUUUCCACUCGUGUGUUAUUGCCUCUACAAGAGAGACUUUGCAAUUACUUGCAACAUAUGUGUAGAUGUCAGAAAACAGCUGCGCUGUCUGUAAAUAUGACAACUAUUAAAAAAAAAAGUAUUGAAAA